UUAUUACUCAACAUGUUAUAUUGCGAGUCAAAUUGAUCCAUGUUAAAAUUACAAUAGAAAAAUGUUUUUAUAAAACGUUAUGUGUAGUAGCUUUCGGUAUGAAACUUCUCAUGCUUGGCUCAAACGGUGUAAACGGUAAAAGCCCAGGGAAGUGGGUGAAAGAAUUUUGCAAUGAAACUGUGAGGGUACCAUGCAGACGAGGAACACAAGGGGACCGAGCAGCGAGCCUUGAGGGACACCGUGUGUAACUUGGAUGUUUUUUUUUCUUGUUAUGAUUUCUACUAUUCAAGUCAGAAAUAUUACUUUUCUAAUGUACAUUUGUUUGCAUGACUGUCUGCUUAUUGCAGAACCAAAUGAAUAAACCCAGAAAAGCUUCCCAGUGGAAAGUUUGCGGAAAGUUCCUGGACACUGACCAGAAAACCUCCCCUUUGCAACUCUGGUGUCAAGUCAAACAAAAGCAGCGGCACUUUAAAUGAAAGACAGAUUCAAGUGGGAUGAUUCAGACUCGAGACACAUCGCAGUACAAUAACAACACCAGGAGAAGCUACAGGAGGAGGUGGGCAACACAGGCGACAGUGUCGAAAGGGAAGUGUUGGGUGUUGCAGAAAAUAGGAAGCAGCAAGGUGGAUGAUGGAAAAGACGUGUGUAUAGGAAAGUGCUCUGCAUUCUGGUGAGCGGGUGGUUGAGUACACAGGAGGGACUGCGGCUUCCAAUCAAAGGCAGACGUUCCGUCAUGUGACUGCCGAGAGUGAUUUACGGUUUGAGGGCAGCGGCAGAGCUUGAGAAGUUGAAGCAGGCAGAAAGGAGAGGGACGACUGACUGGCCUCGGCUACUCUCUACGCUGUGGGAGACGACAGGACUCUUGCUGGGCUGGACUAAAAAAAAAACCCGAGUGGGCCGCAUUGGCCCGCGGGCCCAACUUUGCCCACCCCUUUGAAGAUACCUCACCUUUCCCGCAGGCGCC